rnacentral:rRNA from 1 species
GAUGAACGCUGGCGGCGUGCCUAAUACAUGCAAGUCGAGCGAACAGACGAGGAGCUUGCGCCUCUGACGUUGGCGGCGGACGGGUGAGUAACACGUGGAUAACCUACCUAUAAGACUGGGAUAACUACGGGAGACCGGAGCUAAUACCGGAUAAUAUAUUGAACCGCAUGGUUCAAGAGUGAAAGACGGUUUUGCUGUCACUUAUAGAUUGAUCCGCGCUGCAUUAACUAGUUGGUAAGGUAAAUGCUUAGCAAGACAACGAUGCGUAGCCGCCCUGAGAGGGGGAUAGGCAACACUGGAAUGGAGACACGGUCCAGACCCCUACGGGAGGCACAAGUAGGGAAUCUUCCGGAAUGGGCGAAAGCUUGACGGAGCAACGCCGCGUGAGUGAUGAAGGCCUCAGGAUCGUAAAAGUGUGUUAUGAGGGAAGAACAAAUGGGUAAGUAACCAGGCACGUCUUGACGGUACCCAAUCAGAAAGCCACGGCUAACUACGUG